UACGAAGGGGGCUAGCGUUGUUCGGAAUUACUGGGCGUAAAGCGCACGUAGGCGGAUUGGUCAGUUAGGGGUGAAAUCCCAGGGCUCAACCCUGGAACUGCCUUUAAUACUGCCAAUCUAGAGUUCGAGAGAGGUGAGUGGAAUUCCGAGUGUAGAGGUGAAAUUCGUAGAUAUCGAGAGGAACACCUGCGGCGAAGGCGGGUUGCUGGGCUGACACUGACGCUGAAGCGCGAAAGCUAGGGGAGCGAACGGG
rnacentral:rRNA from 1 species